rnacentral:rRNA from 1 species
UACGUAGGGUGCAAGCGUUGUCCGGAAUUAUUGGGCGUAAAGGGCUCGUAGGCGGUCCAUCGCGUCGGGAGUGAAAAGCUGGGGCUUAACCCCAGUCCUGCUUCCGAUACGGGUGGACUAGAGGUAGGUAGGGGAGAUCGGAAUUCCUGGUGUAGCGGUGAAAUGCGCAGAUAUCAGGAGGAACACCGGUGGCGAAGGCGGAUCUCUGAGCCUUACCUGACGCUGAGGAGCGAAAGCAUGGGGAGCAAACAGG